GGGCGUGUAGCUCAGUUGGUAGAGCGUGUCAUUAGCAUGUCCACUGUCCUGUGGAGCCUUAUCUGUUCUUGACAAGGUCUUUGGUUCGAUUCCUAACUCGUCCA
rfam:Trichosporon oleaginosus strain IBC0246 unplaced genomic scaffold CC85scaffold_15, whole genome shotgun sequence.